UACGUAGGGGGCGAGCGUUGUCCGGAAUCAUUGGGCGUAAAGCGCGAUGUAGGCGGCUCGAUAAGUCUGCUGUGAAAGUCCAGGGCUCAACCCUGGAAUGCCGGUGGAAACUGUUCGAGCUUGAGUCCGGAAGAGGCGAGUGGAAUUCCUGGUGUAGCGGUGAAAUGCGCAGAUAUCAGGAGGAACACCAAUGGCGAAGGCAGCUCGCUGGGACGGUACUGACGCUGAGACGACGAAGCGUGGGGAGCAAACAGG
rnacentral:rRNA from 1 species